GGGGGGGGGGGCUUCAAACCCGGCCUGGCCACCCAACUCCAGUUGGGGGGUUC
rnacentral:tRNA from 16 species